GCAUGAAUUGAUUGUCAGGAACGGUGCGUAAAUCAAAAAGGUUGAAUGUGGUUCAGAGCCGCGCUGAGUACACCAAUGGGGAUUGUGACAAUAGUGAGCAUUCUCUGCUGUCACGUGAUUCAGUGUCCGAAACACAAGAAUUGGAGGAUAAUGAGGAUCAAGUUGGUCGUCGAGAUGAUCGCGUCGACAAUAUUUCUGGUGACGGUAAGCGUAGGGGAACAUCCUUACCGGCUGUUUGGAACAUGCCAGAUGGUGCGCGGAUAGUUGUAAAAUGCAAUCAUCUUGGCCAGCCUAUUGGGGACGAAGGUGGAGUCCUGGGGAAAUUUCUUGGCACAAUAGCUAGACUUGGGGGUUAUUGUCCACUUGACAAAAAGGACUGGCGUAAUGUCAAGAAAGAUGGUGGGGCUGACACAAUACUUCAGUGUGUACAGACAAAGUUCUUGUACCCUGCUAAGUGUGACAAGUGGAUACUAAAAACUACCGGGCGAGAUUGGAGAAGAUUCAAGGCUGGUCUGAAGAAAAAUUUCUUUAAUGCAAACAAG